rnacentral:lncRNA from 1 species
GGAAUGCCUGCCAUCUGACAGGGUCCUGGACUGGAUUGACCAGUCACUGUCAGCUGCUGAGGAGCAUUUGAAAGUCCUUCGAGAAGCAGCCCUAGCUUUUGAGCCAGAUAAAGGCCUCCCAGGCCCAGAAGGCUUCCUGCAGGAGCAGUUCGCAAUUUAGCGCCUACAGGCCAGCAGCUAGCCAUGAAGGCCCCUGCUGCCAUCCCUGGGUGGUUCAGAUUAGCCUUACACUUUUUCCUGUAGAAUUAGUUGUUCUCCACAGCUCAAGAGUUCAGUUGUGUAUACAUAGUAAAGCAGGAGAUCUCUGUCAGUUUGUGCCUCUCUUGCAAUUGCAAAUUGUGGCUUGUGAGUGGCAGUCUAAUACUACAGUUAGGGGAGAUGCCAUUCACUCUGCACAGAGGAGCAUUGAAAACUGGUGGACUGUCAGCUUUAUUUAGCUCACCUAGUGUUUUCAAGAAAAUUGAGCCACCGUCUAAGAAAUCAAGAGGUUUCACAUUAAAAUUAGAAUUUCUGGCCUCUCUUGAUCAAUCAGAACAUGUGGCAAUUCUGAUCUGCUUUUCAUAAGAGGAUGAUCAAUUGAAGCUAAAUAGGGAUUGCUCCUUUUGGCAAGACUUGUACUCUCUCACUUGGCCUAUUUCAUUUAUUUGUAUUAUCUGCCUGGUCCCUGAGGCAUUUGAGUCUGUCCUGCCCCUUACAGGUUUGGGUUUGAAGCUGAGAACUACAAAGUUGAUUAUUUAUCAUUAUGCCUGCAAUUUUACCUAGCUACCACUAGGUGGAUAGUAAAUUUAUACUUAACGUUUCCAAAGAAAGAAAGAAAGAAAAAAGAAAAUAAUACCAUGCAAUAUAAAGCUUGUACAAGUAAGCAAACAAAGAUAUUUUAAAAAUCACUCUUAGUUGAUGGGCAAUUUGAUAGUCAUUUAUACCUGGCACUGGUAUAAAUGAGAAAAUAGAUGCCCAGUUGUGUUAUGAUUUAAUUAUUUUUAUUCUACUAUUAUUACCACUAUAAAAGCAACAUAGUUUCAAUUUGACCAAACCAAGAUGAAUAAAUUACUCAAUAGUCAUCAUUAGUAGAGAGAAAAGAUCUUAAGUGAUAUAAAUUAUUAAAUGCCAAGAUAGCAAGUCUGAAAAAUUUAACAAGGAGUAUAACUGUUUCUUCUUGAAGAUUCUUCAUAAUAGAGAAUCAAGACUAUGUAAUCUUCACUUCAUUGCAAUUAGCUUUAGGACACCUUUAAAACCUAAAAUGAAUAUUUUGUGGGUAGUAUAAUUCAUUUCAAUAAAGCCUCCUUCAUUCACAUGUUAUUCGGAUACCAAUUGGGCAGGACCCUCCUGGGAGGCAAUGCAGUCUGGUUGUUAAGAAGACAGACUUGAGUUCCCAUUCAUCCCCAUCAGUUACUAGCUGUCUUAGCACACAGUAGAUAACUUUCUGAGCCUUAGUUUUUUCAUUUAUGUGAAAAUGAUAAUAACAGAAUCUACCCCAGUGGAAUUGUUGUAAGGAUCAGGAAAGAGAAUACAAGUGAAGCUCUUAUUUCAGUGCCUGGCUGGAAUGAAUCUUCAAUAAAUAUUUGUGGUUGCUCUUUUCAUUAUGGAAAGGCAGAACGAUAUAGCAGAAAGCACAUGAGAUUUGGAUUCAGACAGACCUCGGAUAGGAUUAACAAGGCCCUAUUCAGUUACUUACUAUUUAUGGAACUAAGCAAAUGUGGAACUGUUGUCCAGGAAUGGAACCUUAGAAAGGCUGAACUCUUUCUUGGAGGGGGAGAAAAGUAAAACCAGGAUGGAUCUUGGGAAAGGGAAGUAGAUUUUUUUUUUAUAGGAAAGACGUAAUAAUGUGCAAGUUAUCAUAUUAAAUCUUGAACCCUGACCAAAAUAUUCCAUUUUUGAACAGAAAUAAAAAGAUUGUAGUGACAUACAGCAGGAUGCUGGCAGAAAAAAAAAAAAA